ACCUGCGGAAGGAUCAUUGUCGUGACCCUAACCAAAAUAGACUGUGAACAUGUCAUCANCUCUGUUGGGUGACGGCCAUAGUAACGUCUCCUGGCAUGGGCCCUUAUCCUUCUUAUGAUGGGUAGGGUCCACAAAAGAACCCACGACGUCGGAUGGCGUCAAGGAACACUUAUGUUGCUUGCACGAGGGUGUGAACUGCUUGUUUGAUACACCUUGUGCUGUGAUGCUACCUUAAUCCAUAAGACUCUCGGCAACGGAUAUCUUGGCUCUCACAUCGAUGAAGAACGUAGCAAAAUGCGAUACCUGGUGUGAAUUGCAGAAUCCCGUGAACCAUCGAGUUUUUGAACGCAAGUUGCGCCUGAGGCCGCUUGGUCGAGGGCACGUCUGCCUGGGCGUCACGCGAAAAAGACACUCCCCACCAUUCUUGUAACGGGAUGUGGUGUUUGGCCUUCCGUGUCAUGUGAAUGGUGCGGUAGACUGAAGUGUAGGCUGCUAGCCAUGGGGCUGGUCAUAGCACUUGGUGGAUGACAAAUGUUGUUCUCGGAGUUGUGACAUGUAUUGCUCCUGGCGAUAGUAUGGCUGUUAUGAUGACCCAUGUAAUGGAGCUUUGAUUGCUUCAACCAUGACCCCAGGUCAGUC
rnacentral:rRNA from 1 species